rnacentral:rRNA from 1 species
UACAGAGGGUGCAAGCGUUGUUCGGAAUUAUUGGGCGUAAAGAGCUCGUAGGCGGUUUGUCGCGUCGGCCGUGAAAUCUCCACGCUUAACGUGGAGCGUGCGGUCGAUACGGGCAGACUUGAGUUCGGUAGGGGAGACUGGAAUUCCUGGUGUAGCGGUGAAAUGCGCAGAGUAUCAGGAGGAACACCGGUGGCGAAGGCGGGUCUCUGGGCCGAUACUGACGCUGAGGAGCGAAAGCGUGGGGAGCGAACAGG